UAUGUAGUUAAACUCAGACAAAGGUGCU
rnacentral:sRNA from 1 species